CAGCAGUGAGGCGGCCAACCGGCGAGCGCGGGGCAGGUGCCUACGAACUUCUCGUAGAACGACUGCCUAGACCUGGCCCAGCAGAGCGUGGAGGAUCCCGGGCGGUGUUGGUCCCGGCGUGACUUGUAAGGAAGAGAGCCAGGAGGGCCCCAGAAGGGGCUCGCAGUAGCACGCGCAGCGCGCGCGCACCGGCGGUUGCUCAGAGCUACCUUAGGAGCCAUAGGGACCAUACUCCAGGUGGUGGGCACUGGCCCAACUUGAUGCUAGGGCUCUCGCCAUCCUUCGCUUAGGUGGCUGUGGCCGUGUUCCAGCCUGCGGCCAAGCAGAGUUUCAUCAUAGAGUUUUUGGUGGCCAAGGAUGGUGGCAACGGUGGGAGUCCUGGCAGCGUGGGCGUGGGGGGUGGGCUCGGGCUCCCAUCCUCUGGCUGUGGCUGCCUUAGAGUAACUGCUCAGGCUUGUGGCACUCAACUGCCUUCAUCCCAGUUUGGUCGAAAUAGCCUUGGUGAGUGGCUUCCCUGCCACAGGGUGCAGGCCACUCCCUCUAGGGACCACCGGAGCUGGUGUAGCCAGAGACCAUUAACCACUCAGUGCUGAUAGUGCACAGGCACACCAGCUGGGCUCCUCCUCUCCGCAAUCCCCUCACUCAGCGCCCAGCUUCAGGACCCUCUCCACUUCUAUCCCUGGGGACUUCGGAACCGCUUCUUUGGCUACUGCUUCCAUGUGCAGGGCUAUCUGAGAGGUGCCUGGUCCCAUGCUGCACGGAAGUGAGACAUCCAGGUGACCACCAUGCUGACAAAGCUGGGAUCACAUUGCCAGUCCACCACUGGGAUCUACUCAGUAGUCACGAGAUUCCCCGAAGCUGGGCAUGCUGGACUCUGUCAGCGUCCAGCAUCCAUUGACGAGCACCCAGGUGUCUCUUCAUCAUCGCCCUGUGAUGCUUCUAAGUCUCACCCACCAGCAUGCUCCUGCAGCAAGGAGGUCAGGCCUUCCAGAGGGCUGCCUGGGGCUUAAGUCGACGGUGGACUUCAUCACCACUACUUUACGGUGCAUGCAGGUGCUGAACACCUUGACUUUUGGACACAGGCUUUUGCAAGGCCAUCGAGGUUGAAAUGCACCUGCCUAUUUGGGUGGUGGUGGCACAUGCCUUUAAUCAAGAGGAUGAAGGGGAUCUUGGCUGUAGAUGUCCCGCUCUUGCCUUGCAGCCCAGACAAAUUUCCUUAAGGACUGGAGGAUCAGAAACAGCAAUGUGUCUAUGCAACUUCUUCCAGGGACAUUUCCGGGAAGCCCAGGCCAUCUUCAGUGUUCCAUGGAUCCCAGUUUAAGAAAGAGCACGUGCGACCUGCCUGACUGGAAUUUGUGUGCAAGAAGAGACGGGACAGAGACACAGACAGAACCUCACAGUGCAUGGCCGUCAAGGAGUCAUCAGGAUGUGAGGCCAGAUCUCCAACCCAGGCUGGCCAGAGUCUCCGGGAAGUCCUCGUUGGUUUUGUCUGAUUAGCUAGCCUGAUCCAGAGGCUGAAGCCAGCACUGAAUCCAUGGAAUGAACUUCCCAGAGUUGUGCAUUAAGGGUUGGGGAACAUGGGGUCUAAUGGUGCUCUUCCUGCCUCUGAGAGGAAUUGGACACUCCUCUCUUCUCAAAUUAGGCAGGAAAAAAAAUGUCUGUCCUAAGAGAGCUUAGUGUUGCUCAGGGGACAGAGUAGAUAAGAAACAGGAAUGUGUUUCCCAGGGGCAGAACACUACUGGUACAGGGUGUUGAACUCAGCAGAUAUCCCAGCAGGGUGACUAUGCCAGGAACCUUGUUGUCCUGUGCUCAGAUUAGGAGAGACCGUUGGUCGGAGGGACCAUCCAUGUCAGUCACACGGGCUUCUGUGUGCCUCAGGCUGUGACAGAUGUUGGCACAGUCUAGGGAGAAAGAACACAGGAGA